AGCAGCAACUGUCCCAUCUUGGCUUAUCUUGCAAAGCUAAGCAGGAUCAGACCUGGUUAGCAUUUGGAUGGGAGACCACCCGGAAACCCCAGAAUUCCAGUUU
rnacentral:rRNA from 1 species